rnacentral:rRNA from 1 species
CGCCCUGCUUCCAGGAAAAGCCUCUAAGCUUCAGGUAAUAAGUGACCGUACCCCAAACCGACACAGGUGGGCAGGGUGAGAAUCCCAAGGCGCUUGAGAGAACUCGGGUGAAGGAACUAGGCAAAAUAGUACCGUAACUUCGGGAGAAGGUACGCCCCUGGUACGUGAAGGCCCUGCGGCUGGGGCGGAAGGGGGUUGCAGUGACCAGGCCGCUGCGACUGUUUACUAAAAACACAGCACUCUGCAAACUCGAAAGAGGACGUAUAGGGUGUGACGCCUGCCCGGUGCCGGAAGGUUAAGUGAUGGGGUCAGCGCAAGCGAAGCUCUUGAUCGAAGCCCCGGUAAACGGCGGCCGUAACGAUAACGGUCCUAAGGUAGCGAAAUUCCUUGUCGGGUAAGUUCCGACCUGCACGAAUGGCGUAACGAUGGCGGCGCUGUCUCCACCCGAGACUCAGUGAAAUUGAAAUCGCCGUGAAGAUGCGGUGUUCCCGCGGCUAGACGGAAAGACCCCGUGAACCUUUACUAUAGCUUCACACUGGACUUUGAACCAGCUUGUGUAGGAUAGGUGGGAGGCUGUGAAGCGGUGACGCCAGUUGCCGUGGAGCCAUCCUUGAAAUACCACCCUGGCAUGUUUGAAGUUCUAACCUCGGCCCGUGAUCCGGGUCAGGGACAGUGUGUGGUGGGUAGUUUGACUGGGGCGGUCUCCUCCCAAAGAGUAACGGAGGAGCGCGAAGGUACCCUCAGCGCGGUCGGAAAUCGCGCAAUGAGUGCAAAAGCAAAAGGGUGCUUGACUGCGAGACCAACAUGUCGAGCAGGUGCGAAAGCAGGCUUUAGUGAUCCGGUGGUUCUGUAUGGAAGGGCCAUCGCUCAACGGAUAAAAGGUACUCCGGGGAUAACAGGCUGAUUCCUCCCAAGAGUUCAUAUCGACGGGGGAGUUUGGCACCUCGAUGUCGGCUCAUCACAUCCUGGGGCUGAAGUCGGUCCCAAGGGUAUGGCUGUUCGCCAUUUAAAGUGGUACGCGAGCUGGGUUUAGAACGUCGUGAGACAGUUCGGUCCCUAUCUGCCGUGGGCGUUGGAGACUUGAGGGAAGCUGCUCCUAGUACGAGAGGACCGGAGUGGACGUACCCCUGGUGUUCCGGUUGUCACGCCAGUGGCAUUGCCGGGUAGCUAUGUACGGAAGGGAUAACCGCUGAAAGCAUCUAAGCGGGAAGCCCCUCCCAAGAUGAGGUCUCCCUGGGCCCUUGAGGCCCCUGAAGGUCCGUCGAAGACCACGACGUUGAUAGGCGGGAUGUGGAAGCGCAGUAAUGCGUGCAGCUAACCCGUACUAAUUGACCGUGCGGCUUGACC